ensembl:lncRNA
AUGUUCAGAGGGAGAUGAUGCCACAUCUGGUCCAGCUGAUGGAAGGUCUUGAAGUUCUCUGACUGGCCUCGACUGAAGAUGGUCGUCUCACUGGAUUUAAGGUUCAGAUGCUCAGUAACAAACUCCACCAAUGAGCCAACAGGGAAGCUUUAGGUUUAUUAAAUGUUGCUAUGAAGGUAUCGCUGUUUUUCUUUGUGAAUGCAAUGUGCUCCAACUGAAACUUGAAUUAGAACUUAGAAGUAAAUCCUUCCAUCUGAAAGGAUUUAGUUGCAUUAAUAACCUCAUAACAUUCUAAUUUUUAUUCCAGUCUUGGCUGGAAAUAGAAUCUCUGUAUUGAUUCAGGUAAAAACUGAACUUCACAGCAUGUUGGAGCAAAACAACCAGAUGAAAACUGUGAUGGUGUUGGAUUGUCAGACUGUAAUGUUGCAGCUCAAAGCAGCUUUUCUAUCUCAGUUCAUUCUGACAUUCAGCUAUGAAUCAACACAGCAGAUGGUGAUCCAUGCUGUGGAAGUCUCACAUCUCCUGAUUUAAUGGAGCUGCUUUGCACUUUUUACACUGUUUAUUCACCAACACUUUAUUUAAUAAAAGUCCCAUCUAGUUUUUAUGAGGAAUGUGAUGUUUUAAUUUCUCUGUGAAUAACUGCAGUCUAAUGCAACAGCUGGAGUUGUAACAUCUGUCCUGAUAUUGAUCAUGAAGUAUUGAUCAGAAUACUUAUGGUCAGCAGUCAUCCCUGAAGUUUUACAUUAAAAUCUUUACUUGUGUUGUGAACUUUGGUAAGAAGCAGAAACUUUAGCGUUGCCAUGGAUACAUGAGUGUUAAAUUCUGUCCAUGUUUCCAUUUUGGGAAAUGCAGUCCAGUUCCAGAAUGUGGAGGAAUUUAGUCUCACAAUCACAGACAACAAAUAUUAUCUGAAAGUCGGGUUAUUGUUGUUUAUCAGCACAAUACAAAAAGAUUAAUGUUAGAAAUAUUCCAGUUAAGACUCUAGAAUAUCAUGAUUUAUGUAAAUUUACCUCAAUAAUAUGAAUGUUCAGGUUAAGAUUGUACAGUGAUAUUUAUUAUGCAAGUUUAGCUGAUUAAAGUUUAUGACUCUGCACUAAAAUAUUAUUUAAAUUGACAUCAUUAUUAUAAUAUUCAGGGUCAGACCCUACAGUAUUGAGAUUAAGAAAUCAAAUAUUCUAUAAAAUGUAAAUACACUGAACUCAUUUGGAUAUAUUUAAGUGAGACUCUACAAUAUUAUUUGACACAAAUCUAUCUAAAUCAAAAUUUUAAUAAUUUUCACGCCAAACAUUUACUGGACUGAUUUAAAUAUUAAAAUCACUCCUUUCUAAUCCUCUGCUGUACAUUCAAACCUGAGGCCUUAAAUAGAAACACACAAGUAUCUGAUUGAAGGAACUUCUGUAGAGUCCUGGUUCCAGAACAUGAUGAUAGAAUUAUAGACAAACUUCAACAAAAGCUGCCUGAGAGUUUACAGGUUUUUAUGUUGGAUUUCUUCAGUAAUUUAAUGAGCGUUAUCAGCAAUAAUCAAGUGUUCAUUUGAUGAACUUCAUUUCCUAAAACAUCCAGAAUUGGAGCUCAUAUCUUUGGCAGCUGUAAAGUUUCUGCUCCUUCAAAGUUCACAACACAAUGAAUGAAUUCCUAAAACACUCUCAAUGCUGGAGAGCGUUUGUGAUGCUGAAGCAGUGACCAGUUUUUCUGUUUCUUCUCUGGAGAUGCACAAUGAGGGACGUCUGCAGAGACUGAGAAAGAGUCUCACCACAUCCUGACAUGAGGAAAAAGACUUUAUUGAAGACUACAAUGAGAAAAACUAUCAGACAGCAGACGGCUGCAUUCAAGUCUGUAGCUGCUGAAUUCAUGGAUGAAUCAUCUGGCACUAGAGAGGAAGACCAUCAAACAUCCAUGUCAGCUGAUGGAGGUCCAAGAGUCUCACCAAACAAAC